rnacentral:tRNA from 1 species
UCCCUGGUGGUCCAGUGGCUAAGACUCUGAGCUCCCAGUGUAGGGGGCCCAGGUUCAAUCCCUGGUCAGGGAA